rnacentral:lncRNA from 1 species
CAAGAGCUUAUAUCUUCAUAUAGAAGUGCUCAAGUUCCUGCAAGAUUAAACAAUACUGGGAAUCAAAAUUCACAACGAGAAUUAAUUAUUGGAGAGAGACAGAUCGAUAAAACAGCAAUAGUCACAUAUAUAAGGGAUUUCACUUGGAAAAGAAAACGUUUCAUGCUAAUGGAUUGAGGUCCAUAACCAUGGGUUACAUGAAAUGCACCAAAACAAAAGCAAGCCACACCUGAGAGAAAUAAGUGAAUUCCAAGAGUCCUACAAGUAUUAUGGUUUUGCAUUACAUUAUGUUUUUUAAAAUAUGAAUAAAUAAGAGAGGAUAGACUCAUUACUUAGUGGAAAAUGUCCCAAAUAAAUCCAACAAGUACCUAAUAAUCCCGUAUGUAUGUAUGAUGGAAUAAGAAACAUAUACAAAAGAAUGUUUAACCUGUAAUAUUCAGUUUCUAGGAGAAUACAAAAAAUAUAUACACUUAAGCUCCUACAAGAAAUUAACUUUUUCUAUUAUUUGACAUAUAAGCCAAUAUAUCGAAAAACUAGUAAACUAUUUUGAUUAUAUGAUUAAAACAUAACUUUCAGUAUUGCAUUUGAGUAUAUGAGUAUUAGCAGUCAAAAAUUGAAAUAUAAGUUAGAUAUGCUUGUUUUGAUCAAUCUUCAGAUUUUAUUUCCCAGAAUGAGUGUGGAGACAUAUAAAGGGAGGGGGGGGGGGGGGAGGGGGCAAUUNNNNNNNNNNNNNNNNNNGGGAAGGAGCAAUUUUGUUAUUCUCUUAAGUAUGCAACACAAGAUGACAUACAAUAGAUUGAGAGAAACUACUGAUGGUUAAGAAACUACUUGGUCCUGAUUUUUUCAACUUCAAUCCAUCUUUGGAUAUAAGCUCACUGACAAUUUCAAAUGUGAUUUGAGGAACUCAAUUCCUUAAUUCAUCCGGUAGAAUUCACAAUUUUUAACUGCUAAAAUGGAAAGCACAGGCAUGGAUCCUUCCUCCACCUCCCACGUCUCUAAGAAACGCAAAGUCAAGAGCUCUAACCGUUUGAGUU